rnacentral:rRNA from 1 species
UUAUAUUCUGUAGCAAGGUUAACCGUAUAGGGGAGCCGGAGGGAAACCGAGUCUUAACCGGGCGUUAAGUUGCAGGGUAUAGACCCGAAACCCGGUGAUCUAGCCAUGGGCAGGUUGAAGGUUGGGUAACACUAACUGGAGGACCGAACCGACUAAUGUUGAAAAAUUAGCGGAUGACCUGUGGCUGGGGGUGAAAGGCCAAUCAAACCGGGAGAUAGCUGGUUCUCCCCGAAAGCUAUUUAGGUAGCGCCUCGUGAAUUCAUCUCCGGGGGUAGAGCACUGUUUCGGCUAGGGGGCCAUCCCGGCUUACCAACCCGAUGCAAACUGCGAAUACCGGAGAAUGUUAUCACGGGAGACACACGGCGGGUGCUAACGUCCGUCGUGAAGAGGGAAACAACCCAGACCGCCAGCUAAGGUCCCAAAGUCAUGGUUAAGUGGGAAACGAUGUGGGAAGGCCCAGACAGCCAGGAUGUUGGCUUAGAAGCAGCCAUCAUUUAAAGAAAGCGUAAUAGCUCACUGGUCGAGUCGGCCUGCGCGGAAGAUGUAACGGGGCUAAACCAUGCACCGAAGCUGCGGCAGCGAACGUAUCACCCAAGACAACUUUACGGAGUUGACGAUUGACGGAGCGAAGCGACGUCAAAGCGUUCAUUAAAGUCGAGUUGGCUUAGGGAUACGUUCGUUGGGUAGGGGAGCGUUCUGUAAGCCUGUGAAGGUGUGUCGUGAGGCAUGCUGGAGGUAUCAGAAGUGCGAAUGCUGACAUAAGUAACGAUAAAGCGGGUGAAAAGCCCGCUCGCCGGAAGACCAAGGGUUCCUGUCCAACGUUAAUCGGGGCAGGGUGAGUCGACCCCUAAGGCGAGGCCGAAAGGCGUAGUCGAUGGGAAACGGGUUAAUAUUCCCGUACUUGGUGUUACUGCGAAGGGGGGACGGAGAAGGCUAUGUUGGCCGGGCGACGGUUGUCCCGGUUUAAGCGUGUAGGUGUGUGUUCCAGGUAAAUCCGGUUCACUUUAACACUGAGGCGUGACGACGAGGCACUACGGUGCUGAAGCAACAAAUGCCCUGCUUCCAGGAAAAGCCUCUAAGCAUCAGGUAACAUCAAAUCGUACCCCAAACCGACACAGGUGGUCAGGUAGAGAAUACCAAGGCGCUUGAGAGAACUCGGGUGAAGGAACUAGGCAAAAUGGUGCCGUAACUUCGGGAGAAGGCACGCUGACACGUAGGUGAAGUGAUUUACUCAUGGAGCUGAAGUCAGUCGAAGAUACCAGCUGGCUGCAACUGUUUAUUAAAAACACAGCACUGUGCAAACACGAAAGUGGACGUAUACGGUGUGACGCCUGCCCGGUGCCGGAA